rnacentral:rRNA from 1 species
GACGAACCGUGCGAACGUUAUUCGGAAUCACUGGGCUUAAAGGGCGCGUAGGCGGGUCCGUCAGUCAGGGGUGAAAUCCCACGGCCCAACCGUGGAAGUGCCUCUGAUACUGCGGGCCUCGAGGGGGAUAGGGGCGUGCGGAACUCAGGGUGGAGCGGUGAAAUGCGUAGAUAUCCUGAGGAACACCGGUGGCGAAAGCGGCGCGCUGGAUCCCUUCUGACGCUGAGGCGCGAAAGCCAGGGGAGCAAACGGGG